AGUGAACGCUGGCGGUAGGCCUAACACAUGCAAGUCGAACGGCAGCACAGUAAGAGCUUGCUCUUACGGGUGGCGAGUGGCGGACGGGUGAGGAAUACAUCGGAAUCUACUUUUUCGUGGGGGAUAACGUAGGGAAACUUACGCUAAUACCGCAUACGACCUACGGGUGAAAGCAGGGGAUCUUCAGACCUUGCGCGAUUGAAUGAGACGAUGUCGGGUUAGCUAGUUGGCGGGGUAAAGGCCCACCAAGGCGACGAUCCGUAGCGGGUCUGAGAGGAUGAUCGGCCACACUGGAACUGAGACACGGUCCAGACUCCUACGGGAGGCAGCAGUAGGGAAUCUUCGACAAUGGGCGCAAGCCUGAUCCAGCCAUGCCGCGUGGGUGAAGAAGGUCUUCGGAUUGUAAAGCUCUUUUGUUGGGAAAGAAAAACAGCAGGUUAAUACCCCGCUGUUUUGACGGUACCCAAAGAAUAAGCACCGGCUAACUUCGUG
rnacentral:rRNA from 1 species